CCAAUGUGGAUACCACAGGAGGUCACUCCUUAGGCCCUGACCUUGUGGUAUAGGAGAGCAUAGGGCUCUGCCCCAUGAUGUACAGUCCCUUUCCAGAAUGUUGGAGAUGAAGAUAGGCUUUGAGUCUAUACCUGCAUAGUCUUGCUACUUGCCAGAGUCCUAUGGACAAUGACUGAGGAGAAAAACCAUGCAGGAAACAAGU
ensembl:snoRNA SNORA73 Small nucleolar RNA SNORA73 family